rnacentral:rRNA from 1 species
CCUACGGGAGACAGCAGUGGGGAAUAUUGGGCAAUGGGCGCAAGCCUGACCCAGCAACGCCGCGUGAAGGAAGAAGGCUUUCGGGUUGUAAACUUCUUUUCUCAGGGACGAAGAAAGUGACGGUACCUGAGGAAUAAGCCACGGGUAACUACGUGCCAGCAGGCGCGGUAAUACGUAGGGGGCAAGCGUUAUCCGGAUUUACUGGGUGUAAAGGGCGUGUAGGCGGGACUGCAAGUCAGGUGUGAAAACCACGGGCUGAACCUGUGGCCUGCAUUUGAAACUGUAGGUCUUGAGUACUGGAGAGGCAGGCGGAAUGCGCGGUGUAGCGGUGAAAUGCGUAGAGAUCGCGAGGAACACCGGUUGCGAAGGCGGUAUGCCGG